UCCCCGGUAGCUCAGUGGUAGAGCAACCGGCUGUUAACCGGUUGGUCGCAAGUUCGAGUCUUGCUCGGGAGCCAU